AACGAACGCUGGCGGCAUGCCUAACACAUGCAAGUCGAACGGAACCUUCGGGCUUGGUGCCGCACGGGGCGGCAGCCGGGGGGAUCCUGCCUUUAGGUCCGGCUGAACUCCCGGAAAGGGGUCCUAAUACGGGCUAUUGUCUCCGAUCCAAAGUUUUAUCGCCUUUGGAUGGGCCUCCGUUGGAUUACCUUGUGGUUAGGGUAAAACCCUACCACGGGGAGGUUCCAUAGCUGGCUUGCGAGGAUGAUCAGCCACACUGGUACUGAGACACGGCCCAGACUCCUACGGGAGGCAGCAGUGGGGAAUAUUGGAAAAUGGGCGAAAUCCUGAUCCAGCAAUGCCGCGUGAGUGAUGAAGGCCUUAGGGUUGUAAAGUUCUUUUACCCGGGAUGAUAAUGACAGUACCGGGAGAAUAAGCUCCGGCUAACUCCGUG
rnacentral:rRNA from 1 species